UACGAAGGGGGCUAGCGUUGUUCGGAAUUACUGGGCGUAAAGCGCGCGCAGGUGGUCUUCCAAGUCAGUGGUGAAAGCCCGGAGCUCAACUCCGGAACUGCCAUUGAAACUGUGAGACUGGAGUACGAGAGAGGUGAGUGGAAUUCCCAGUGUAGAGGUGAAAUUCGUAGAUAUUGGGAAGAACACCGGUGGCGAAGGCGGCUCACUGGCUCGUAACUGACGCUCAGGCGCGACAGCGUGGGGAUCAAACAGG
rnacentral:rRNA from 1 species